rnacentral:rRNA from 1 species
GGGGGGGGGGGGGGGGGGGGGGGGGGGGGGGGGGGGGGGGGGGGGGGGGGUGCGGUGGUGGGGUGCGCGGGGGGCGGACGGGUGGGUCACGGGUGGGUAGGCUGCCGUGGAGUUUGGGAUGGCUUCAGCGAGCUGGGGCUACUACCGGACCAGCGCGACUGCUGUCUGGUUGGGGUGUGCACGUUUCGGCGGUUUGGGAUGGACUCGCGGCUUAUCAGCUUGUUUGUGGUGUAGUGGAUCAACAAUGCUUUGACGGGUAGCCGGCCUGAGAGGGUGACCGGCACAAUUGGGACUGAGAUACGGCCCAGACUCCUACGGGAGGCAGCAGUGUGGCAUAUUGCACAAUGGGCGGAAGCCUGAUGCAGCAACGCCGCGGGCGGGAUGACGGCCUUCGGGUUGUAAACCGCUUUCGCCUGUGACGAAGCGGGAGUGACGGUAAUGGGUAAAGAAGCACCGGCUAACUACGUG